GAGGGUAUAGCUCAAGCAGUAGAGCACAUGCUUAGCAUGCAUUAGGUCCUGGGUUCAAUCCCCAGUACCUCCU
rnacentral:tRNA from 1 species